GAAGCAACGCGAAGAACCUUACCUAGACUUGACAUCUCCUGAAUUACUCUUAAUCGGGGAAGUCACUUCGGUGACAGGAAGACAGGUGGUGCAUGGUUGUCGUCAGCUCGUGUCGUGAGAUGUUGGGUUAAGUCCCGCAACGAGCGCAACCCUUAUUGUUAGUUGCUACCAUUUAGUUGAGCACUCUAGCGAGACUGCCCGGGUUAACCGGGAGGAAGGUGGGGAUGACGUCAAAUCAUCAUGCCCCUUAUGUCUAGGGCUACACACGUGCUACAAUGGCUGGUACAGAGAGAUGCUAAACCGCGAGGUGGAGCCAAACUUUAAAACCAGUCUCAGUUCGGAUUGUAGGCUGAAACUCGCCUACAUGAAGCUGGAGUUGCUAGCAAUCGCGAAUCAGAAUGUCGCGGUGAAUACGUUCCCGGGCCUUGUACACGCCGCCCGUCACACCAUGAGAGUUGGCAAUACCCAAAGUUCGUGAGCUAACCCGUAAGGGAGGCAGCGACCUAAGGUAGGGUCAGCGAUUGGGGUGAAGUCGUAACAAGGUAGCCGUAGGAGAACCUGCGGUUGGAUCACCUC
rnacentral:rRNA from 1 species